GUGAGACACUCACAGAAAAGGGCUGGGAGAAGUGCCAAAACCAGAUCUGAAGUUCCUUGUAUGAGCAUCUUGUAUGGGCUGGUGCCUGAUUAAGCUGCAUAGAACUAGGUAUUCGGAGCACCAUUCAGGCUGAUGCUCAUGCUGCUACUGAACUGCCCCAGACACUGGUGUCAUCUCCAUUACCUGAAGAGGACAAUGAAAUAUCUCCUUUACCUUUAUCCUGCUUCUGUGUAGCAGAGUCUCAAAUGAAUACAGACUUCAGGGUCGUGGCUCUUUGAGAAUGUCACACAGCACUUUACGCCCACAGCAUACAAUGCUUCCAGAAAGUCUAGGUCAAGGCAGCCGGACAGUACCAGGAGCCUCAGGCCCUGUCGCUGAAGCUGCCCCAUCGUGCCACACUUCACAACUUCCAAGGUAGAGUUCUCUCUGAAAACUCACAAUCUUGCCAUCUGUCUCCGUUCUCAUAUCUCAAUCUAUUCAGCUUAUCAGUCUCCAUGUGCCACUUUCCCAUGAGGCAUUUCAACAUCCAUGUAAAUCAGAAGUGAUGCAUAAACUAGGUGUCAGGAGCAUAGGGGAGCACAAGGCAUUAUCUAUUUCUGUGAGCCAUGCUUAACAUACAGCUACUCAGUACCAAAGAACUCAGUCGCUACAAUAUAGAGAUAAUUACAAACAAAUGAGUGACAUCAACGAGAUCUAAGUUGUCAUAAAUACAAUUUCAUAUUUUUUUAUGAAUGAAAAAAUAUUUAUCUUUUUUCAAAAAUUCACUUGGAAAUUAUUUUCAUGAUACAGUACCAUGAUCAUGAUUUUAUCAUACUCUCCAACAACAUCAAUAAGAAAAACCAGCUCAGGGCAGGCCCUGUGGCAUAGUGGUUAAGUCCAGCACACUCUGCUUUGGCAGCCCAGGUUCACAAUUUUGGAUCCUGGGCAUGGACUGACACCACUCGUCAAGCCACACUUUGGUGGUGAUCCACAUACAAAAUAGAUGAAGAUUAGCAAGGUGUUAGCUCAGAGUAAAUUUUCCUCAACGAAAAAAAGAAAAGAAAGCUCUCAAGCUCUGAAGCUUUUCCUAUACUCUGCUCUUCUCCCCCAAGGCCCUAACAUUCCACACACAUUCCAUGGUUGCCAGGAUGCCCUGCUUUAUUCAGCAUUACAUCACCAGAUGCUAGGAACAUAUCUGGAGUAGAGUGGACUUUUGUGUUCAAUCGCGCAAUUGUGAUGAUACAAACGUAGCCUCCUUUAUGUUAAGGAUGGCGAUACUAGAUGGUCGUCUGAGGCGAUUGAGGCCUGCUCAUCACACUUGAGUGAGCUCGAAAGCUGACCCUUCAGUCCUGGUCAAGCCAGAUGAGAUGACUGCAGAGCUGGGAGACAGCUUGACUGCCGAGACCCUGGGCCAGAAUCGCUCAGCUAGGUGGCUCUAGGAUACGGGAACUUCAGAACCUGCACGAGAUAAGAAGUAUAUUAACCUGCUAAAUUUUGAUGAAUUUGUUCACAGCAAUAAAUAACAUACAGCUAGAGACUGAACGAGAACUAUUUUCUUGGCCAUACUAGUUAAGAAUAAGUAAAAAAGAACUUGAAGACUGAUGGUAGAAUUCACUUUGUGGCAUUUGAAAUUCAUGGUGUAUGGGUAUUGGUAACAAGUGCUUAUUUCAGACUUUAGGUUUGAUCAUUGUCAAUGUGUUGUUUUGCCUUUUAUGCAACAAAGCCUCAAGUUAACAUGGCCUUAUCUGUCUGCUUUCCAUCAAAUUAUAGUUGCCUAUCUAUCUAUCCAUCUGCCCAUCUAUCCACUCAUCUACCCAUCCAGCCAUUCUCUCGUUGAUCUAUUUUUCUCUCUACAGAUUUGGACCAAGCAAACCCCAUCUGAACAUUAACAGUCAAGAUUAUUGGGUCUAGAGAGGGCAAAAUCUUCUUUCCUGACUUAUUCUAUCUUCAAGAGCUAAAUUUAUUUUUUAAUGUGCUAUUAAUUAUAUCAUGAUACUUCAUGGUGUUAAGAGGUAAAAUCAUAAUAUAAAAUCUCAGGCAAAUAAAAUGAAAAAAAAUAGUUGAAGGCAGAAAAAAACUAAGUAAAUAAUAAAAACAUGCCUAAUACAGUUUAGUCAAUCUCUAUUGAGACAGGUAUACUGUGUGACAUUUUGCUAAACAGGUGGAUUUACUUUAACCAAAUCAUAUUUUAUUAGAACUUCCCCUGUUUAGACAAUGUAAAACGAAAGUUUUAGAUUUACUGUUAAAAGUGCAGACAACCGAAUCCUAAAAUUAAAAAAUUCUUUUUACUACUAACAUAGUAACUCUUUCAGUUAUGUAUUGCUGCACAGCAAACCAACCCAAAACUUAAUUCCUUAAAACAACAACAAUGUGG
ensembl:lncRNA